rnacentral:tRNA from 1 species
AAGUAGUUCAGUGGUAGAAUACAACCUUGCCAAGGUUGGGGUCGCGGGUUCGAAUC